rnacentral:rRNA from 1 species
UACGGGGGGAGCAAGCGUUGUUCGGAUUUACUGGGCGUAAAGGGCGCGUAGGCGGUCGUGACAAGUCACUUGUGAAAUCUCCGGGCUUAACUCGGAACGGUCAAGUGAUACUGUCGGACUAGAGUACAGAAGGGGCAACUGGAAUUCUCGGUGUAGCGGUGAAAUGCGUAGAUAUCAAGAGGAACACCUGAGGUGAAGACGGGUUGCUGGGCCGACACUGACGCUGAGUGCGCGAAAGCCAGGGGAGCAAACGGG